rnacentral:tRNA from 1 species
GCGCCCUUAGCUCAGCGGAUUAGAGCAACAGACUACGGAUCUGUGGGUCGGGGGUUCAAAUCCCUCAGGGCGCGCCA